AGUGUUUAAAUAAUUUUUAAAACAGUGGAAAAUUGCUGCAUCUAUAUAAAAUACUGACCAGCUUGUUAAGUGACCUGACCAUUAAGAAUUAGCAAAACCACAAUUCAUUAAGAGCCACCCUAGAAAAUAUUUCUUCUUUCAUCAUGUAUAUUCAUUAUCUUGCUCACCCAACGUGUCCCACCAAAAUGGAUUUCUGCUU